rnacentral:rRNA from 1 species
CCCUUAGACGUUCUGGGCCGCACGCGCGCUACACUGACCAGUGCAACAAGCAUCCGUCCUUGGCCGACAGGCCCGGGCAAUCUUUGAACGCUGGUCGUGAUGGGGAUAGACUUUUGCAAUUUUUGGUCUUCAACGAGGAAUUCCUAGUAAACGCAAGUCAUCAACUUGCAUUGAUUACGUCCCUGCCCUUUGUACACACCGCCCGUCGCACCUACCGAUUGAAUGGUCCGGUGAAGCCUCCGGAUUGGCGCGCACCUCGGUGCCGCCGAGAAGUUGGCUAAACCUUACCAUUUAGAGGAAGGUGAGNUCGUAACA